rnacentral:rRNA from 1 species
UUCCCCCAGUAGCGGCGAGCGAACGGGGAGCAGCCCAGAGCCUGAAUCAGUGUGUGUGUUAGUGGAAGCGUCUGGAAAGGCGCGCGAUACAGGGUGACAGCCCCGUACACAAAAAUGCACAUGCUGUGAGCUCGAUGAGUAGGGCGGGACACGUGGUAUCCUGUCUGAAUAUGGGGGGACCAUCCUCCAAGGCUAAAUACUCCUGACUGACCGAUAGUGAACCAGUACCGUGAGGGAAAGGCGAAAAGAACCCCGGCGAGGGGAGUGAAAAAGAACCUGAAACCGUGUACGUACAAGCAGUGGGAGCACGCUUAGGCGUGUGACUGCGUACCUUUUGUAUAAUGGGUCAGCGACUUAUAUUCUGUAGCAAGGUUAACCGAAUAGGGGAGCCGAAGGGAAACCGAGUCUUAACUGGGCGUUAAGUUGCAGGGUAUAGACCCGAAACCCGGUGAUCUAGCCAUGGGCAGGUUGAAGGUUGGGUAACACUAACUGGAGGACCGAACCGACUAAUGUUGAAAAAUUAGCGGAUGACUUGUGGCUGGGGGUGAAAGGCCAAUCAAACCGGGAGAUAGCUGGUUCUCCCCGAAAGCUAUUUAGGUAGCGCCUCGUGAAUUCAUCUCCGGGGGUAGAGCACUGUUUCGGCAAGGGGGUCAUCCCGACUUACCAACCCGAUGCAAACUGCGAAUACCGGAGAAUGUUAUCACGGGAGACACACGGCGGGUGCUAACGUCCGUCGUGAAGAGGGAAACAACCCAGACCGCCAGCUAAGGUCCCAAAGUCAUGGUUAAGUGGGAAACGAUGUGGGAAGGCCCAGACAGCCAGGAUGUUGGCUUAGAAGCAGCCAUCAUUUAAAGAAAGCGUAAUAGCUCACUGGUCGAGUCGGCCUGCGCGGAAGAUGUAACGGGGCUAAACCAUGCAC